GGGAGUGGCAAGCGUUAUCCGGAAUUAUUGGGCGUAAAGCGUCCGCAGGCGGCCCUUCAAGUCUGCUGUUAAAAAGUGGAGCUUAACUCCAUCAUGGCAGUGGAAACUGUUGGGCUUGAGUGUGGUAGGGGCAGAGGGAAUUCCCGGUGUAGCGGUGAAAUGCGUAGAUAUCGGGAAGAACACCAGUGGCGAAGGCGCUCUGCUGGGCCAUCACUGACGCUCAUGGACGAAAGCCAGGGGGGGAGCGAAAGGGAUUAGAUACCCCGUGUAGUCCUGGCCGUAAACCGAUGAACACUAGGUGUCGGGGGUAAUCGACCCCCCCCCGUCCGGUGUCGUAGCCAACGCGUUAAGUGUUCCGCCUGGGGAGUACGCACGCAAGUGUG
rnacentral:rRNA from 1 species